GAUAUCUUUGCUGCGUCACCGAUGCUGAGAGGAAGAACAAGGAGGGGAGGGAAGGGGAGGGAAGGGGAUGAGAGAGAGGAGCAGCAGGCAGCUGAUGAGAGGGAGAUCUUAUAGAAAAACUCUAUGCAGCAGGUAACGCAGGACUAGCUGACUGACUGAAACAACCAUGUUUUCGCCCUGGAUCCUUUCCCUUCAGCUCAUCCUGUUUCCUCUCUUCUGGAGAGGCAUCUAUACAAAAACAAAUCCUUCGUUGGCUUUGACAGUUCCAGUCACAACAGUCUUUAAGAGUGCAGUCCUGAAAGGUGACAGUCUGGUUGAAAAAGUUGAAAUCUUGAAACCCAUCGAUUUAGAGCUAGCAUGUACCUGGACCGGUAAUCCAAACAAAUUACCAAACAUUACCGGGUACUGGCGAAAAGAUGGGAGUGAAAUUACUAACUCUCGGCUUACUGUACAAUUGGAGAAUGAACAAUAUAAUCUCAAAAGAGUAUUCAGAAUUACUGGGGAUACCCUUGGGAACUACUCAUGCAUCUUUAGUGAUACCGACGAGGCAAAAAUUGAUUUCAAUGUGGCAGCCCCAGAGAUGGAUGAUAAGAAGGACAAGCCGAUUGUUGCGUAUGUGGGUGACUCUGUUGCGAUGGCCUGUAAAACCAAGCUUCCCCCUAACACUUGGCUUUGGUACAGAGCAAACGGAACCGAGCAGGAACUCAUCAAUGCAACUACUGACCCCCUUCGUUACAAGAUCAGUGUGGAUGGAAACACAACCAAGCUCACUGUGAUGAACCUGACAGAGGAGGACUCUGGUGUCUAUGUCUGCAGUGCCAUCUAUAACAUCAAGGCCAGUGUGAGCCGGGUGGAAGUUCGGGUCAUCACCUUCAUGGAGCCUCUGAAACCCUUCAUAGCCAUCGUGGCUGAGGUGAUCAUCCUGGUCCUCCUCAUUCUGCUCUAUGAGAGGUGGAGCUCACAGAGGAGCAGUCACUCGCCCACAGGUAAUAACAUACACACUGCUUUGCAUACAGCUCUGUGUAGCACAUCGGGAUGUGGGGAACUUACUACUCGGCCUGAAGUGUGCCAACGAACAGCUAGCUUUUCGUGUUUUGCGCGACUGGUAAAACACUUUGGGAGGCGGUCACGUGUCACAUGCAAGUCGAAUCAGGAGGAAGUGAUACUCGCUAAGCAAGCAGCUGUGUAUACACCUUUGCAGUAGCUUUCAGGGCCAUUGUUUUAUCCUCCAUGUACAAUGUGUUCUUUAUAACACGAAGGUCAUCCUUUGUAUAAAACUAAACUCACAUUUUCUUAUUCUCAGAAAAUGGGGUGCAUGCUGAACCAACACAUAAAUUGACAAGGGAAGGUAAUAAUGGAAUGGAUGAGAAUACCACAACGAGACAACGAAAGAUUUAAACCGAUACAGCAUCAACAGGGUAAAUAAACUAUAAGAAAUGUUCCUAGUGCUAAGUUUUGUUUUCUGAGUGUCGCUGAAACCAUUUCUUAUUCAUAAAUCAAUAGCACAAUUCUAAGUAGUUUCAUAACCUUACUCAACAAAAAAACGUCUUAUGGUAAACUGUUGCAGGAACACCUUUUCCACAAAAACAAGGACAUCCUCUACCAAAGACAAAAUGUCCCCCUUUCUGAAUGUGUCAACUGAGACAUAUUAGUAAAAUAUUUGUUUUAUUUUUGGGUCAAUAAUUAUAAUGCAACAAUAUAUUUUUCUGCAUUUUGACAUAAUUUAUCUUUAUAUUUGUCCAUGUUUCAGUCAACAUCAUACUACCAAAUAGCAGUGAUAUCUGAGCACAGUGUGUUGCUUGGUUCGGUUGGUGAGAUCGCUUGAGAGGCCUUCACUUUUGCCUAACAUGAUGUGCGUGCCUAUGGUUUGACAUAAAUGCCAAUGUCUUCUUGUUUGAAAAGUCUUCUUAUUCUUGCACUCUUCUAGCCUAACUACACUUAUCAAUUACAUAUGGUAGUUGGUGUGCAGUGCCUUGUACUUUGACAAACAAGUCAAUUCUCUGCUUUGCUGAUAUAAUUAAUCCCUUAAAGUCCCCAUAUGAUGUUUAUGUUACAUUAUCUGUCAGUGUUAAAGCAGUGUGCCUUUAAUAUACAUUUUAAAAUGCUAUAUUAUUGUUGUCCUAACUCAGAUGAAACUUUCCUGUUGUAUGUGAAUGGUAAAUAAAAAUCCUAAUGAUGAA